ensembl:lncRNA
AUUGAAGGCAGGAGACUGAACAACAACAAUAAACAAAGAAAGUGCAGUUAUAAAUUUAAAAAUGAAAAUAUCUCUUAGUAAUUAUAGUCACUUGGAAUACCGCACAUACAUUAAAUUAUUCUCUUCCAAACAUUUCAGCUAUUCAGCCAAGACAGAAACAACUCCAUGCUCCUGGAUGGCCAAGUUACAAACGAGGUUGAUCUGUCUGCACUGCUGAAACUUGAUGACUCGCAAUCAACAGUCUGUAGAACAAUGCGGUUAACAGUGUGAAGAUGUGGAUUUUUUUCCACCUCUAAAUGCUGGGUUCUGUGCUGGGCCAGUGAGGUAAGUCUGACUUUAGUUGACCGCCCAAUAGAAGAACAGAGUGCAAGUAAAGGGAGUAAAGAUACUUGAAGAUAUGUUGAGCUGUUAAUACUGCACUCACUUCUUAUAUCUAGAAGGGGCAAGUUUGGCUGCAUAACCUUCUGACAAACGUCAUUUUCUUGUUAAAUGUUAAAUCACUGAUGGGACCCUUUGAUUGGAGAUUGUUUUUCAAAGACCCACAGUCUACGCCGCAACCUUGCAGAAGGAUCAGGAGCAUGUGCUAACGCAAUCACAAGAGCAGUAUUUCCCGUGAAGGUGAAACAACAGUCCACUAAAUUAAUUAUUUUUUUAAAACCAGUGAGAUUAUACUUAUUUGUUCCAUGCAGCUAGAAUUGUUACAGGAUUACAUGCUUUGAUAUGAAAUGCAAGUUUGGAUCCAAUUCUUAGAGGAGCUAAACCUGGAUCUUACACUAAAUCCAGUGCUAGCAGCUCUGGACAGUAUGGGUAGGCUCCAUGAGGGUCAGGCACAUUACAUAAUUACUCACAGAAACUGGCAUCACACUUACCUAUGGUCCAGCAUGCCCACUUCUCAGUAGAUUAGUGCUGGCUCAUACAGCCAUAUUUAAUCUUGCUCCUUUGGAGGGGACCUCACCAUAGCUUGGUUACACCCAAAUUCAUAUUGCACUCUAAAAUAAAAUAAAAACAAUUGUAAGGACUGGCAUAUGCAUAACCCUAAGGGGUGCUGCUUGAGGUAUUCAGAAGCGAUACAGACAGCUACAUCCACAUCAGUGUGUGUCUGUUAUUCUCCAUCUAAAUAACAGGGCAGAUAUCUGUGACAUUUGGAAAAAAAAAUAAGAUGAAUUUGUCCAAUAUGUGUGCAGGGAUAUGGGAUAACAGCGCUGCAUGGAUGGAAUAGCAGGGAGUGCCUGGGGUCAGCGGGUGAGUGGCAAUGCUGUGUGGGGAUGGUUGUAUGGGGCCACUCACAGCAUUGCCCCAGCCCAUGGUUGGACAGGCAGGGUGAGCUAUUCUUAGUCAAGAACUUCAUGCAGAACCCAGCCCUUAGAAAAAAAGAGCAAAAUAGCUUUUUGACCAGAAGAUUGAGGCUUCUUAUGUGGUUUGAGGCUGUCAUCUGAUGAACAGCUUGUCCCAGAAGUUAUAGCUAACGUCACUGCUGAGUGCUGUGGCACGUAUUCCAAAUGCACGAGACAGAUCGUGAACAAAAACUGUGUUUGUUUCAAAUUCAUACUCCUAAUACUAUUGACUAUUAAAUACUUGUGGUACAUUAGUAUCUGUAGCUCAAAUCAGAAAAGCUGCAAAAAGUAGCCAUUGUUAACAAGGUUCUGUUUCUUCCUGAAAUUAAAUCAACUGGCAUCAAUUUGAAGAAAAUUUGCUGUAAUGAGUUUUUCUUACUGAGAGUGACCAAAGCAGAACAUAGGAAGGAGUGCAGCAAAUCAAAGAAGCAAAGAAAAGGUUGGGAAGACAGACAAGGUAUGUGAACAUAUUUUUCAUGGACAUUUUGACUUUCUUGCUAUAUUAAUUUAUGUCACAUAGUUUUAUGUCACGGUGGCAGUGCCCUUAAUCGGAACAAAAUUCUAUCUCUGACAUAAUACAAUAAGGACAAGCAUUUACAGAUCUAACUUCAAUUUGACUGUCUGUGGUGAAAUCAAUGAGAGGCAGAAAAACUUAAGUAUGCUUACAGAUCUUGUGAUUGUUCUGUUCAAACAGAAUUCUUCAAAUCCAUGGAUAGUUUGAUUAGGUUACUGCUUAUAGAUAGUUGGUACAUGCCUCAUGAACAAAAGUAAAUAUUCAUUUCAGAUCUCAAUCCCAUCAUCAGGUGCCUACAAAUUUAUUACUGUGAAUUGAAAGAUUUGCAGGAUUGCCUUUGUAGAAUUGUGAAAUCUGACAUAGAUCCUUGGAAUUGCAUGUUGACCAUAAGUGAACAGAAGGAUAAGUGCUGCUGUUCUCCUCUGGCUCAUUUUUAGUUUUGGGAUUCCUGUAGGCAGUGCUGAAUGUGAACCCCUUCAAUGCUGACCCCUCCUACAUUCCCAUAUGCAGCUGCACAUUCUAAAUGCUGUGAAAAAAAAAUCACACAGUACAGUGUGAUCUGCAAGCAUUUAUACAAUAGAUGAACCACAGUGACUGUUCAAGCUUGAACUGGGUGUUAUAGUUUAUGCAAGUUCAGGCAUGUUUUGAAAUGAAGAGAGGUAGGAAAAGAUAAAUCAUACCUUUGUUUCUGUGAAGCAUUUUUCCAUAAAAACCCAAAUGUUGAUGCCUAAACAAGGCCAAAAAAUGUAUCGUCCCUACCUUUCCUUAAGGGUGUUUGCUUGCACAGUGCUAGGAUCAUCUGUAGUUGAGACAAGAUUCACACUUCUCCCAGGUCCAGAUGGCACUUCUGUGCUGCUGGGACGGUCUAGCAAAGCUGCUCCUUGUUUCUGAGCAGGUGACACUGAACCACCCCAAGGUGUAAGUUCAGCCAGCUUCAAUGCUUUGCUGAGCUUGCUGUCAAUGGGAGGGAGCUGGCUGGGCUCUGUUGUUGCUCCAGCCAGUUCCCACAGCAGCUCCUUGGCACCCUGCUGGGCUGCAGUAGGGUAUCAGCGUGAGCAACGCUGCAGAGCCGUGGGCUGCUCCUGGGUAUGUCUCCUCAGUUCCUUGCUCUGCCCAGAUAACAGGCACUAGGAUAUAGAAUUGCUCUCCUCCAACUCCUUUUCUUUUCCUGCUGUAUAGGGACAUGCAUAUAUUUAACAUAUACGUUCACAAACUGUUAACCUUAGUACUAUUUUCUCUUUUCCUACCUUAACCAAAGCUUCAUUUUAUUUCGAGCACUGUAAUUAAUUGACUCAGCAGCACAGUCAAGGAUACACCCCCUGGGUGCUUCAGCCUUUUACACAGAAGAUCCCAGGGUGUCGAGGGUCACUUUCAAGGCUUGUAUCUAUCUCAGGCAUUUGGAGAUCAAGUCCAAGUGGUCUUUGGAACUGCUUCAUACUCUGAAAUCGCGUUCCUCCAAAGCUGAUAUCUCCUGUUUUGGACACAAUAUCCAAAUGUGUAGAUAACAGAUGUUGCCCUUGGGUGGAAGACCUUCAUUCUCCUGGAUGGUGGUCUUAGACAUAGCAUUCCAACCAAGGAAACCACAGUCAACGAAAAAAAAACCCAACCCCCAUCCCAAAUUGUGUACGGAGUCCUGGCAACUCAAGCAGGGCCAAACUGAUGUUGAACAGAACUUAAUUAUUUUAAUUUUAUUCACACUGAGUCUUCAUCUGUGUUGACAGUACUCUUUUCCAGUCUACUUCACAAUGACAGGCAGAAUCCAAAUCCCAUUCAAAUGAAAGUAUGAGGAAGCCAGGGAUGGACUCCUAGCAAACAAACAAAAACAGUUAGACAUUUUUACUUCAAAAGCACAGCAGUGGUUUACCAGCAAGGACUGUACUCAUUAAUGCUGUCUUAUUUGCGCUGCUACCUAUUACAAUUUUUAAUGUUGCUUUGAAAAAAAAAAAAACAUUUUUAAGAGCCAACUGUUUCACUGCUUUGAAAUCUCUUUGCCCAAGAGUGAAUCUUUGCAUUUGUUUUCAAAACAGUCAGUUCUUUCGUGUGGAAGCCAUGCAAGUAAGUUGGUACACAUUGUUAGUACAUCAGUCUUCAAAGACAAAUGAAAAAUAAAGGGCUUCCUUAUUUGAGACCGCUUUACUUUUCUGCUCACCGCCUCCUUUCCCGUUUCCUUUCCUUAUUUGUCCUCCAGCAGCAGCUAAUGCAGCCAUGCCACGGUGUUGAAGCGCGACGUCGGGUGAAAUGCAGGCAUUGUGUGGAGCCGUGAGAGCGCCAGCAGUGCACGGCACGUGGGAACACAUUCAGGCCUACACCAAUGAGAAGAAACAGGAAAGGCUGUGGGCAUCCCACUGCCUUUGCUGUGCUGAUUCCUGGGGAAGCAGAAGAAGAAGAGCUCCAGCAGGUAAGAUGCAGCCAUCAAUUUUGCUACUACGAUAACAGUAUGUGUCUGAGGUACCAUUCCCAGAUGGCUUUCCUAGGCCCUCAGAUUUCAAAAACUGCCAGGGAGUUUUUGUAAUUCACCUCACAGUAAACGUAAACACUGCUUAAUGGAUGGCUUUAAUGCUGCCUUUCUGCUUCAAGGAUUUUUCAUUGGUCGCUGCUGCAGUGCUGGAACUUGCCCCGGGGCUGCACGCAGGCUGCCAUGCAGCCAAGGGCUUAGAAACCUGUGUCAUUUCAGUUCAUGUUGAUUAUGGUUUUUGACUGAAAUACUGUGGUAUUCUUUUUAAAGAAAGCACUGAGUCACCAAAACUAGCACUUACUUUGUAAAUGCAUUGGUUUUGAGGGGAAACUUUCUGAAGCAGAUGGAACUGCUGUAUAGAGGGGAAAAAAAAUUCUUCACUGAUUAGGGCACUCGUGUAUGGGAGCCCUACAGUCAGCAAAGAGCUGUUAUUUAUGAACUUGUCACUACACCUGCGAGGGAACGGAGCAGAGCAAGGAUUUGAACCAGACUAGUUUCCCAAUCAUUGGUUCAUGGUCUCAGUGUAUACUGAGAGUGCCAAUUUAUUUUGGAAGCCUCGCUAAAUAUUCAUGAAGUCUGGGAUAAAAUCCCCACAAGAUAGCAGUUACAGGAGCUGGAUGAGAUACAGGCUGCUCGUGCUUAAGCCCUUGAUUCAAGCUGCUUAGAGAAAUACCUCAUGUUCAAGUCCCAUCUCCCACCCAGUGAGCUUAUGUGCUGUGUUGCUCUCCAUUCAGCAUGAUAUAGAAAGACAACCCCAGAAGUCAAACUUCCUUUUUUUCCUACUCCAAUUCUGCCUACCCCAAUGUACUAGAAAUGAAUAAAAUUAGAAUUGGGCCAUACAUUUAUAUCCCCAUUUUCCCUCCAACAUCUCUUCACUGGGUAUGCCUGGUUGUAGAUUUGCUGCAGUUCAUUUCUUCAAGAUUACCCUGAAAGGAGUGAUUUUGUUUAUCUUCAAAAUGAAAGUUGGUGGGAAUGGUGGCUUCCCCGUAUUAAUUGUAUGAACAGAAAGCGGUGCUGUGAGGUCAAGAGGAAGUGCAGUGCUCAAGAUAUUACCAAACUAUGUCAUGAAAACAGAUGUGCUCUGCUGCUUCUUUCUAUGUAUGGGGAAUUUUCUCAAGAUCUUAAGAGAUGUCUACUCUGACCACAGAGGCUUUUGUCUUAUUCUUCCACUUUCCACCUUUGAGAACAGAUCAUGGUGGUUUUUUUUUGUGGGCUUUCCCCCCCCCCCCCCUCCAUGUUUUCUUUUGGUUUUCUAGCAGCCUCACAUGGGCCCAGCACUGGGAGCAGAAGCUCAGCAUCACCCACUACAGCCUCCUUUCUACAGCACUGCCAGGUGGGUGCAGAAUGCUCAGGGGAGCCCUACAGGUAAUGGGCUGAGCUGAGGGGUGCCAGCUGCUCCUUAACGUCAGGAGUAUGAGGGUCACAAUGAAGGUCUGGAAGAAACUAAGAGUAUUUUUUAAUCAAUAAUUCUAAGUUUCUCUCUCCUGGCCUUAUGCCAGGUCUUAGUGUUACUCUAAUGAAAACUGUAGAAAAUGUAUACACACAUAAGCUUGCUUAGCUAGGAAAUGAAAAAAUAACGAACAUUUACAGCCAGUAAUCAAAACGAUAAGCAAUCCAUCUGUUGGCAGAGGAGCAUUUUAUAUGACCAGUGAUGCAGAAGGCUCCUGCAGGUAAGCUACAGCAGCAAUCCAGCUGAGGCACUGCACCCUACCAGCUCUAGGAGCUAUGUGAGGUGGUGCUGCUGAUAUCAGCCUCUGGAGCUGACCUGGUGCUGCAGGAACCUGCUGCUGUGCUGGGUCUUGUUCCACAGGGCAGGCUCUUCUCAUAAACUAUGUGGGGAAUUAAUAUAAUUAUACCUGUGCAAGUAGGAGGAAAAUUAAAACAUAUGUUAUCAGUUCUGAGUAGCCACCAAAGUAGUUGUAUAGUCUACAAAGCACAGUUGGAAAGAGUACUGCAGUGAGAUAGCAAAGGAACAAACAGAGAAGAACUGCUCACCUGUAUGCAAAGAUUUAGGCUCACACUGAAAAGCUCCACAAAGGAGGGAUCACCACAAGGAGAUUCUUCCCCAGUGUUAGUCAGCCCUUAAAUGGGGUCUGGGAGGGGUGGAAUGUGGUCACACAGCUUCUGGUCACAUAGCUGAAUUGCUUUCACCUGUGCUCCCACAGCUGAUUCAGUCCUUGCCUCAGGUGAUCAAUUGGUGGUUCAGGCUGUGAUUCAACAGUUCCCAUGCAGUACUUUAUCCAAACACUGAACAACCGUGCUGUACCUUCGUAGCAACGUGAGGAGUUCUACACGUUGAGAGAUGACUGCCUCAACUUUCAGCUUUCAGCCCUGACUCUUCUUAAAGGUGAGUUUUUGGUUGGCAGAGAGUGAUUGUGAAAUUUAGAGCCAUAAUUUUUCUUUGGUAUGAUGGAGUUUUGUAGGUUGGUUGUAGCAGUUUUGUAAGUUGGUUUCAAAAUUGCACUUUUACUCUGCUAAUUAGGUGGUAUUGACCACCAACUUGAACUAGGUAGUGUUACAAGUAUGAUGUGUAAGUGUUGUGUCAGAGGACAAGGAAUGUUGUUGCCUGAACCACAGCUGUAAUGCUGUACCUGGCCUUGUUUACAUUGCUGAAGCUCUGUGGAGUGCAGUUCUUCUGUGGAAAAUGGAAAUGAAUGGUAUUUGCCUAUCACAAAAGAGUGCUACAGUAGGUUGUUAGCUCCACUGGAUUGUCUACGUGAAGGUGUACAGAACUGUUCAGAAAUCUCCACUAGCUACUUGGGAUUUGGACUUGCGUUUUUGUAGCUCUGCUAACUAAAUUCCAGUGUAACAAUUGCAAUAGAUUCUUCGUAUGGUUCUUCUUUUAUUUUGCUUGUUAUUGGAAAGGAACUUCUAAUCUAUGCACCAGGCUCAGCAGCAGUGCAGGCAGGAAAGGACCCGAACUUUAGAGCUUCUGUCAGUUUGGACUGGAAAUAAUUGUGCAAAGGAUUGUGAGAUUUUGCUGUCUUCAAAUGUGAAAUAUACUUGAGCAACAGUUUAUCUUUUAGUGUAACUUCAAUUCAAAUCUUAGCUUCAGAUACUAUGAUUUUGACUUUUCCUAAUAAAAAAUCCAGGUGGAAGUGACUAGAAAUAGGAAGCAAAUACCUAAUUUGCAGAAAAAUGCCUUGGCGGUAGUGAAGUGAGAGCGCCUGACAGACUGCCUCAUGGUGUUCAUUCUUACUGAGCUACAGUGAAGGCAGAUGAAGCAUAAAUUACUCAGUAAGCAAAUGCCUUGUUUUCUCUGUAACUCCACCUCUUUGGGGCAUCCUGCCCUGUCCCCACCCCUCGCACUUGUCUGCUUGUCUUAAUGGCAGUAUUCACGCAGCUGGUAAUUUAUGUGUCUGAGAGAGAAGAUUUACACAGAGCCUUCCCUUCAGUUAUUCAGAAAAUGUGAGAUACAACACGUGAUUUGUUAGGUCCCAAACUCUUAAAAGUCACGAACAUCUUAAUGGCUGGGCUCGAGCAAGAGAAGUUUUAUAUGCAAUAACUUGAGCGAGAAGCUGGUUCUGAGGUCCUCACUUUACGCCUAGUUACAAAAGUUUGUCUUCAAAAUAAAUACAAUGCCUAUUGUAACAUAAGCACACAGUAAUUUGGCUUUGGUUGAAGCAGUUCGAUGCGCUGCUCUGGCAGACAGACGGAGCUGAUCCAGUUACGGAGACCUGCUUGAUUCGGUCGGUGUCUUGUGUCAUAAACACGAAUUGUUAAUUUCAUAUUACUCAUAACAGGCGCACUGUGAAUGUUUGCAGCGUUUAUAGGAUAUCAGUUACAAAUGUGAUUAUACCAGCCAUUCCUCAGGACUGACACCAGUUUCAAAUUAGAAGCUGACAGGCCUCACCUGCUCCUGAGUUCACCGACAGGUCACCUUCUUGUCAUUUUGGCUGUCCCCCCCCUCAGAAUGACAUCUGUGUUCAUAAAGGGACAGUGAGGGACUCUAAGUUGUUAGAAUUGUUGAAGAAUAAGAAUAAGGUGUCAUCUACUCCAAUAACGUAGUACUCAACUUUGGCCUUUCAGAUGGCGUGAUGCUUGUAGCACCUGACAAUGUUUCCAGAUACAAGAAUAGCCAGAUCGGAGGGGCAGCAGUUGUUCCCUCUUCUACGCACGGAUGCUAGGCAUUCAGCCCAGUGCUAGCCACACAGUAGAGGCAACCUCAGAGUAUUCAGCAAGGGCUUUCAAAAUACCUUUACUUUUUACAUAAAGGGAUAGCACGUUAGCUUAAAUUAAAUCAUUCAGAGGAUGUUAUUACAUAGUCAGAUUUUAAAGCAACCUGUGAAAGGCAAAAGGUAAAUACUGUUAGACAUACAACUAGAUAAAAUAUAUUUGAAGCCUUUUCAAUUUGUUGGACAUCUGCAUGAAUCUCUGCGUACUGUGGGUAUAGAUGCAAACCGUGAUGUUACGUGGAAUUGUCCUAGCACUUAAAAACACAUAUUUCUUCCUUUCUAAGGAAGAUUUUUCGCAUUUGCUCGAUUGCUGUAACGCAGUUGAGAUAGGGCAGUCCAAUUACUCUGCCCAGACACUUCUCAAAACUCAGAAAAAGGGCAUCCCUCUUCCAACACAGGUUCAUAAUUAGCUUAUUUCUGUCAGUGAACGCACAGAGAUGUCAGAUCCAAACAACCUCAAACUGUUCAGAACAGAGAUUUGGGCUCCUCUGCAUUUCAAGUUUACUGAAUAAGUGCACAAACCAAUACAUGCAUGCCUCAAAUGGAACAGCUGUGCAUCUGUCUCCUUAAUGCAUGGGUUUUACAGGAAGCUAAGCAUGUGCAUACGUAUAAGCCCACUGAAGUUGCCUGCCCCAUUGCUGCUGUAUGUAGAGAGGAAGGUCUGUGGGUGAGCUCCCAGCUGUGGGCUGUGAAAGCUUUUCUCCUGGCACCUCCAGGGGCUGGACAGACUUACACUCACCUUGAGCUCAGUUGUGUGCUGGUGAGAAAAGAGCAGAGAUGUUCGUGAGAGGGUGGGAAAGGAUAAACAAGAUGUUCAAUUGCACUUUGCCAAAUGAAGGACUCAGAGCAGCCAAGGAAAAUCUUUUUUUUCUAUUUUCCUCACUAAAUUAAACCUUUAUUUUUGUCUUAGACACUGUGGCUAGCAGAACUGUGAGGACAUUCACAGUUAUAACAGUUACCAUCAUUCUCUGAAAUCUGUCCUUGAUUUUAUUUUCUGCUUCAGGAAAUAUUAUAGUAUUGUUAUUUUAUCUAUAUUAAAUAAACCUAAGGCCUGACUCUUCAUGGUGUAAACAAGCAUGACUUCAGGAAAGCAGUGCUGAAUCACGCCAUCUGUGUGUCUGAGUCUUAAUAUAAAAAGGAACAUGUUACUAGAGAGUAAACAGAAGUAAACAUUUGUUAUGGAAACUCACGUUAUCAACCCAGACACCCUCCUCCGGCGUUUAGCAGGAAAAAAACCCACCUAUGGUAGAUUUACAGAAGCCACCGCUUUUUUUUUUAAUGAUUUGGAUAUUGAUCAUUUUUAAUCUUCUUCUCAGAACAACCGGGAGAUCUAUUAUAGCUUGAGCCAGCCAUGAAAAGCAGGUCCGUUCUUUAACCUGCCCCAAUUCACUUGGACAUAUUUUAUAUCUCCAGGGAUUCAGCCACAAAGUCCAUUAGAGCAUCAGAUGCAGUGAGGUCAAAUCAAUUGUCCAUACUGCAGACAAGGUAACCAUCAUUUACUGUAAUUCUCCCCCGUCAUGGUAGAGGAGAGGAAAGGUUAAAAGCUGUAUUACCAUGAGGCUGUCUCAUCUAUCUUUCAGUAUAUUGGUAAUACCUAAACAUUGCUUAAGGAACUGAAUGCACAAUCUUAAAUCUGCGUUAGAAUGGAUUUAGAGGUUAGAUUGCCAACUUGCAAAAUUUGCGAAUGAUGAUUUCUUCAAAGAAAAGCAGAAAAAAUGAAAAUUUUAAAACAAAAAGCUUAAAAUAUAUUGUCACGUCUGACACAGCCGAUCUGAAGCUAUACUGAACGUUCAUCUCACAAUGACCCGAAUGACUGCUAUUUAUCCUUCCCUAUACAUACAUAUAUUUACCUAUGAAGUAAUUUGCUGUCAUCUCUUUAAGGUGGAGAUGCUAUGACAGUCCAAAAACAAAAGAGGAAGUAAAUUCAGGAUGUAUAUUUUUGCACUGUAAAUCAAGCCCUUAUGUGUUUGCACUCUACGAUGGGCAAUAAUAAUUGACUGAAGCAAUCACUGCUGUGGGAAAACAAACGUCCUGGCAGUGUCGCAUGUGAAGGUCAAGCCUGAUGACACAGUAAGCACCUGAACUCUCACUGACUCCUGGGGAGGCGGCCGCUGAGCACCUCCCGGAGCUCUCCUGGCAGGGACAGAUUUACGCAGCCGCCGGGCAGGGGGUGAGGAUGCUUUUUCGCUCCCACCUCCUUCCGUUGGGUCUGCAAAGUCAUUUAUUUCCAUUACAUGUUCUCUCUGGCUCCUCUGCUCGGUAUGUCAGCUGCAUGAAACCAGAGAGAAAAGGCACUUCUGUGCUUCCAGGGACUGUGCAUCCCUCCUCCUUCAAACAAUUGUGCUGGCCCCAAUUCACUUCAUGCAAGCUGGUGCAUUGUUUGCAUGCAGGGGAGCUGUGUCCACUGCACACGCGUGUGAAAGCUGUGGCACCAUGGCCCAGAUCUUGUUGGACACUGUUGAAGCAGGAAGCAAUAAACCCAGCUUUAUUCACUUGCUUAUUUGCCUUUUCUAGGUUAAUCUUUUCUCUUUCCCUGGAUUUCUUUAAUCCUGGGAUGUUUUCAUUGAGAAAGUGAUUGAAUGAAGAGGCAUUUAGAUUUUCUGUAUUAUGGAAAUGUUUUCACAGCUGUCAGAACCAGUAAUUCUGUCCUUCUGUUUCAGAAGCUAGGUUCUAAGCAAACGUACGCAUCCGUUGUUUAAAAUAGAGGCAAAGAAAUAAGGAAUAGAAAAUAGUCACUGCAGUACAAGUGUGUAUUUCUGAGGCUGACGUAUAUUCUGACAUACGUUCACGGUAACUGUAUUGGGAGACAAUGGAUGAACGCAGUGGGAGUGUAAGAGCUGAUGAUGUACGUUACAGAUAAUAAAUAUUUUUGUACGGAAGCUUAUUUGUAAAACUUAGAGUUUAACACUCAGCACAAUAAAUUCCACUUUCAGGUAAUGUGGGCAUUCAAUAACCAUAAAAAGGAACCGGUAAAAGUUUUGUGUGCGCUGAAGGAGAGAGAAAUGUGCUUUAGAUUAGGUGUUACAUACCUUUCACUUAGCUGCUUUUCCUCCUCUGUUUCCUCUUUUCAUGAUUUUCUUUAUUAUUACCUACUCUCUGGGCUCCUUUUCCUCAGUCUGUGUUGCCCAUCACCUCUGAAUUCAUCCCUAUGAAUGUUUAUGCACAGGUCUUUCACAACAGUGCAGACUGGCAUUG